GACGAACGCUGGCGGCGUGCUUAACACAUGCAAGUCGAACGGUGAAGCGCCUUCCUUUUUGGUGGGUGUGGAUGAGUGGCGAACGGGUGAGUAACACGUGAGUAACCUGCCCCCUUCUUCUGGAUAACCGCAUGAAAGUGUGGCUAAUACGGGAUAUUCUGGGUCUGUCGCAUGAUGGGUCUGGGAAAGAUAUUGUUUCGGUGGGGGAUGGGCUCGCGGCCUAUCAGCUUGUUGGUGGGGUGAUGGCCUACCAAGGCGGUGACGGGUAGCCGGCCUGAGAGGGUGGACGGUCACACUGGGACUGAGACACGGCCCAGACUCCUACGGGAGGCAGCAGUGGGGAAUAUUGCACAAUGGGCGCAAGCCUGAUGCAGCGACGCCGCGUGAGGGAUGGAGGCCUGCUGGUGGUGAACCUCUUUCGCCAGUGAAGCAGGCCUGCCUCGUUUGUGGGUGGGUUGACGGUAGCUGGAUAAGAAGCGCCGGCUAACUACGUG
rnacentral:rRNA from 1 species